UACGGAGGGUGCGAGCGUUAAUCGGAAUUACUGGGCGUAAAGCGCGCGUAGGCGGCCAAGUAAGUCGGAUGUGAAAGCCCCGGGCUUAACCUGGGAAUUGCAUUCGAUACUGCUUGGCUAGAGUUUGGUAGAGGAUGGCGGAAUUCCGGGUGUAGCGGUGAAAUGCGUAGAUAUCCGGAGGAACAUCAGUGGCGAAGGCGGCCAUCUGGACCAAAACUGACGCUGAGGUGCGAAAGCGUGGGUAGCAAACAGG
rnacentral:rRNA from 1 species